rnacentral:rRNA from 1 species
GACGAACGCUGGCGGCGUGCCUAAUACAUGCAAGUCGAACGCUUCUUUCCUCCCGAGUGCUUGCACUCAAUUGGAAAGAGGAGUGGCGGACGGGUGAGUAACACGUGGGUAACCUACCCAUCAGAGGGGGAUAACACUUGGAAACAGGUGCUAAUACCGCAUAACAGUUUAUGCCGCAUGGCAUAAGAGUGAAAGGCGCUUUCGGGUGUCGCGGAUGGUUGGACCCGCGGUGCAUUAGCUAGUUGGUGAGGUAACGGCUCACCAAGGCCACGAUGCAUAGCCGACCUGAGAGGGUGAUCGGCCACACUGGGACUGAGACACGGCCCAGACUCCUACGGGAGGCAGCAGUAGGGAAUCUUCGGCAAUGGACGAAAGUCUGACCGAGCAACGCCGCGUGAGUGAAGAAGGUUUUCGGAUCGUAAAACUCUGUUGUUAGAGAAGAACAAGGACGUUAGUAACUGAACGUCCCCUGACGGUAUCUAACCAGAAAGCCACGGCUAACUACGUG